CCCUAUUUGUGACUUUGCCGAGUGCCCUAUUUGUGACACUCGGCAAACCAUCCCUUUGCCGAGUGCCCUAGGUAGCACUCGGCAAACACCUACCUAUAUUGCAUGUCCAACACCACUUUUAGUAAUUAAAAGGACGUAAACUUUGUGUAAACCUAGUCCAAUUCACUAAACAUUGCGUAUUUCAUUUUUUAAGUAAUAUUGUACCAUUAUUUCAUGGAUUUAUAGCUCAUAUUUAAUUUAUAUCUAUUAAAUUCAUAUAGGUCCAAUUAAUGAAUAAAAAUUACCAAACGGAUCUGAAAAUUUCCCAAAAUUUGACAUGAACCUAUCUAUGUUCUCUAUAGCCUAUAAAAAAAAUUUGGACUCAAUGAGAAUUAUAUUUAUCGAUUCAUCUCAAAAUCUUACCGGAUCCUUUGAACUUCUCUGAAACCUCUCCGGAGAUGCUUCGAAUUGUAAACAUCAUAUGUCAAAACUUGUGCGAAACCUUAUCAAUUUUUUACCACGGCCUCUACAUACGAAAUCAAAGCAUCUUGCAAAAUCUCAUGAUUUUCAAACUUCGUUUGUAUUUUUUAGAAUUAAACAAUCAUUUGGCCACACGUUCGUAGUCGUGUUUUCUUAGCAACAUGUUCGAAAUUUCUUUUCAUUUUCUGGGUGAGACAUCAAUUUAGACUCACUAACAUGAAUAUGAUUUUUUCACUCAUAUUAUUCCAUUAUUCCAACCACCUGCAGUUCAAAUUUGACUUAAAUCAAAAAAUUACUCUAAAUGAAAUUAAUUGAUUAAAUAUAGCAAACAGGUCAAAAAAUAGUCCAUCUUCUACAAUGCAGUGCCAAAU
rnacentral:lncRNA from 1 species